CACACCGUAAACGAUGGAUACUAGGUGUCGGGGACUUGAUCUUCGGUGCCGUAGCUAACGCGUUAAGUAUCCCGCCUGGGGAGUACGGUCGCAAGGCUGAAACUCAAAGAAAUUGACGGG
rnacentral:rRNA from 1 species